rnacentral:rRNA from 1 species
AGUGGGGAAUAUUGGACAAUGGGCGCAAGCCUGAUCCAGCCAUGCCGCGUGAGUGAUGAAGGCCCUAGGGUUGUAAAGCUCUUUCACCGGUGAAGAUAAUGACGGUAACCGGAGAAGAAGCCCCGGCUAACUUCGUGCCAGCAGCCGCGGUAAUACGAAGGGGGCUAGCGUUGUUCGGAAUUACUGGGCGUAAAGCGCACGUAGGCGGACAUUUAAGUCAGGGGUGAAAUCCCGGAGCUCAACUCCGGAACUGCCUUUGAUACUGGGUGUCUUGAGUAUGGAAGAGGUAAGUGGAAUUCCGAGUGUAGAGGUGAAAUUCGUAGAUAUUCGGAGGAACACCAGUGGCGAAGGCGGCUUACUGGUCCAUUACUGACGCUGAGGUGCGAAAGCGUGGGGAGCAAA